rnacentral:rRNA from 1 species
UACGGGGGGAGCAAGCGUUAAUCGGAAUUACUGGGCGUAAAGCGUGCGCAGGCGGUUUUGUAAGUCUGUCGUGAAAUCCCCGGGCUUAACCUGGGAAUGGCGAUGGAGACUGCAAGGCUAGAGUUUGGCAGAGGGGGGUAGAAUUCCACGUGUAGCAGUGAAAUGCGUAGAGAUGUGGAGGAACACCGAUGGCGAAGGCAGCCCCCUGGGUCAAGACUGGCGCUCAUGCACGAAAGCGUGGGGAGCAAACAGG